rnacentral:tRNA from 1 species
UCUGUGGUGGUCCAGUGGCUAAGACUCUGCGCUCCCAAUGCCAAGGUCCCAGGUUCAAUUCCUGGUCAGGGAA